rnacentral:ribozyme from 1 species
UGCCCAGCAACACCUAUCCCUACCUCCUCGUGGUACUAGCCGGGGCAUGAGCAACCUUAGGCCAGAUCGGAUAACUAACCCCGGUGGGAACUUCAGUCGUAUGCUGACAGGGAAGG